UGCAAGUCGAGGGGCAGCAUUCCAGUUUGCUUGCAAACUGGAGAUGGCGACCGGCGCACGGGUGAGUAACACGUAUCCAACCUGCCGAUAACUCGGGGAUAGCCUUUCGAAAGAAAGAUUAAUACCCGAUGGCAUAAUAGAACCGCAUGGUUUGAUUAUUAAAGAAUUUCGGUUAUCGAUGGGGAUGCGUUCCAUUAGGCAGUUGGUGGGGUAACGGCCCACCAAACCUUCGAUGGAUAGGGGUUCUGAGAGGAAGGUCCCCCACAUUGGAACUGAGACACGGUCCAAACUCCUACGGGAGGCAGCAGUGAGGAAUAUUGGUCAAUGGACGAGAGUCUGAACCAGCCAAGUAGCGUGAAGGAUGACUGCCCUAUGGGUUGUAAACUUCUUUUAUAUGGGAAUAAAGUGGUCCACGUGUGGAUUUUUGUAUGUACCAUAUGAAUAAGGAUCGGCUAACUCCGUGCCAGCAGCCGCGGUAAUACGGAGGAUCCGAGCGUUAUCCGGAUUUAUUGGGUUUAAAGGGAGCGUAGGUGGACAGUUAAGUCAGUUGUGAAAGUUUGCGGCUCAACCGUAAAAUUGCAGUUGAUACUGGCUGUCUUGAGUACAGUAGAGGUGGGCGGAAUUCGUGGUGUAGCGGUGAAAUGCUUAGAUAUCACGAAGAACUCCGAUUGCGAAGGCAGCUCACUGGACUGCAACUGACACUGAUGCUCGAAAGUGUGGGUAUCAAACAGGAUUAGAUACCCUGGUAGUCCACACAGUAAACGAUGAAUACUCGCUGUU
rnacentral:rRNA from 1 species